rnacentral:rRNA from 1 species
UUAUAGUACCUGCAGAAUUCCUGGAACCAGGAUCCUGCUAACCGGAAAAUGAAAUUGAGAUCAAGAUCCUUGAGCGUGGUGGUUUCGUCAAUCUGAUCAAGGGGCUUGUCUGUCAUGCGCCCAAGCGAAGAUCCUUUCAAGUCAAAACGCCGAUGGAUUGAAUAG